UACAGAGGUGGCAAGCGUUGUUCGGAAUUACUGGGCGUAAAGGGCGCGUAGGCGGCCUACUAAGUCAGACGUGAAAUCCCCCGGCUUAACCUGGGAACUGCGUCUGAUACUGGAAGGCUUGAGGAUGGGAGAGGGAUGUAGAAUUCCAGGUGUAGCGGUGAAAUGCGUAGAUAUUGGGAAGAACACCGGUGGCGAAGGCGGCGCUCUGGACCGAGACUGACGCUGAGGCGCGAAAGCGUGGGGAGCAAACAGG
rnacentral:rRNA from 1 species